UGGGAUUACAGGCAUGAGCCACCACCCCCAGGCCACUUGUGUCUUAAUUCCUCUUGAUAGUGCAUUUUAGUUUGUGUCACCCACCUCUGUAAGUUGAAAUACUUUUACCAUUUCAGUAACUUGAAAACAAACUGCUCAUUUUUCUUCUUUAUCAGUUAUGAAACUAAAUAUAUAAAAUCUUAUCCCUAGUCAUCCAGGAUUGACUGCUCCUUCUUCACAAGGGUCUCUGCAGGUCCCAGUAUACCAAACACACAGUAUUAAUCAAUAUUCAUGGAGUGAAUGAAAAAAAUGAAUGAAUGAAAGUGAUAUAUUUGCUACCUUACAGAUAACAUGUGAGUAGUUCUUUGUUUUAAUUUUAACAUUUAUUAAGCUUUUGCUAUCUAGAUACAGUUACUGUAUCUGAAGUAGAGAAAAAUGUUGUUUUUCCGGCUGAGCACCAUGGCUUACGCCUGUAAUCCCAGCACUUUGGGAGGUCAAGGUGGGUGGAUCACCUGAGGUCAGGAGUUUGAGACCAGCCUGACCAACAAGGUGAAACACUGUCUCUACUAAGAAUACAAAAAUUAGCCAGGUGUGGUGGCAUGCACCUGUAGUACCAGCUACUCAGGAGGCUGAGGCAGGAGAAUUGCUUGAACCUGGGAGGCAGAGGUUGCAGUGAGCCAAGAUCAUACCACUGCAUUCCAGCCUAGGUGACAGAGCAAGACUCCUUUAAAAAAAAAAAGAGAAAGAGAGAAAGAACGGAAGGAAGGAAGGAAGAAAGAAAGGAAGAGAAAAGUGUUGUGUUAUUUUAUUUUUACAAAAUUUUAUUACAGGUUGUCCCCAGAUAAGACAUGGCCUCAAUUAUCAGCUAAAAUGUACUUGUAAAAAUGGUGGCCUUUGCAAUUCUGCAGAUAGAAGGUCUAUCUGUGGCCUUGGGUGGACAGGAAAUUAUUGUGAAAAAAGCAAGUUGAUUCACUGCCUUUUUUCCCUCAAUAAAGAUCUACUUUAGGCCGGACGCAGUGGCUCACACCUGUAAUCCCAGCACUUUGGAAGAUUGAGGUGGGCAGAUCAUGAGGUCAAGAGAUCGAGACCAACCUGGCCAAUAUGGUGAAACCUCGUCUCUACUAAAAAUACAAAAAUUAGCUGGGCAUGGUGGCGGGCGCCUGUAGUCCCAGCUAUUCUGGAGGCUGAGGCAGGAGAAUUGCUUGAACCCUGGAGGCGGAGGUUGCCGUGAGCUAACAUUGCGCCCCUACACUCCAGCCUGCCAACAGAGCAAGACUCCGUCUCAAAAAUAAAAAAAGGAUCUACUUUUGAGAAUACUGUCAUUGGUUGAUAAAAUACAGCAGAAACUUGUGAAGAAGCUAUUUUCCAUAUUCACCUGGCAUGUUUGGAGAUGAUUGCCAUCAACUUUGUGACUGUGAAGGAGAAACCUUCUGCCACCCAAAAACUGAAAAAUGCCUCUGCCCCCGUGGGAGAACUGGAGCCAGAUGUGAUGCUGGUUAGUCUCCUGUAUUGGGCGUUCAGCAUGGAUGUUGCCUUUUUCUGACCUCAAGACAACUAUCCAACUUUCCCUGUGUCCUUCACGAUGCAACCACUAAAGCUCUACUGAAGUCUCUAAUUCUGAGAAGGCACCUUAAAAAUUUGAAUCUAAUAACUUGCUUGGAUCAUAUGGCUCCUAAGUGGAGCAGAACUCAGGUUUGCCUCAUUCCAGAGGCCACGUUCUUGACUACAGCAUGCAUGCAAUUAUAAAACACUACCAUCGAGGAUGAAAAUCUAUACCCGUAAAUUUUGGAAAGUAAUAAAAUUUUGAUGAAUCCAAGUCAGAAUGAGUUCAUACUCCAGUUGCUAAUCAAGACACACACAGGAGGAAGAAUUUCGCAGAAACAUGACUUUGAAUCCAACAUACGUCCUGUACCAAUUGAAUGGUGCUGGCCACUAGUUUAACACAUCUGUCUCAGGAAGGGAAUAAUGAUGUUCUAUCUACCUUAUGGGUUAAUGUGAACAUUUUCAUAUUACGAUUAUUAAGCAGUACAGGUUGUUUGGCUAAUUAUAUAUGAAUCAGGUGAAGGCAUUUCGUAAAUUAUUUGCCUCAGUCUUGGACUUAGGAAACCUUAGCUUGCGUCCCAACUCUACCUCUGGGCAGUUUUGUGAUCCAAGCACACUUAAUCUUUUGAACUUCAUUUAUUCAUCUGGACAGAGAGGGACAAAAUUCCUCACUCAAAGUUACAGUGGUUUAAAUGAAAACAAAAAGCCCAUCAUGUGGAACACAUAGAUGAUAAAUAUAAGUUGAAUCUGAACUAUAGAAUAUAAGUUUUCCACCUGUUAAUAGUAAUACCAUUAACAACAAUAAUAAUGGCACACAGAUUUCACAAUCUUAAUGUUGGGGCUCAGAACAUAAUAACCCAAAAGAUGGCACCUUAGUGUACUAUUUUAAGUUGAAGGAACUUGAAAAAAAUCACAGAAGCAGGAGUCUCUGACCUCCCUCCCUUCUCCCCUGAAGACCCUAAUGUGACAGGUGUUCUGCCCUGACUGUGAAGAGAAGAAGUGUCACACCUCUCAGAGAGGCUAAGACGAAUCUGGACAGACAGUCCUUGCUAUGUUUCUUCCAGUUUAUUACCAUUAGAUCAUACACUUUUGUCCUCCAAUCAUACUUCUUCUGCACAACUAUUCAUAAAAUACAGAGUUUCCCUGUGUUUUUGGCUCUUCAUUUCUGACAGCUUCUAUGUCAUGUA
rnacentral:lncRNA from 1 species